rnacentral:rRNA from 1 species
GAGGCAGCAGUGGGGAAUAUUGCGCAAUGGGCGAAAGCCUGACGCAGCGACGCCGCGUGAGGGAUGAAGGUCUUCGGAUCGUAAACCUCUGUCAGAAGGGAAGAACUAGGGUGCUCUAAUCAUCAUCCUACUGACGGUACCUUCAAAGGAAGCACCGGCUAACUCCGUGCCAGCAGCCGCGGUAAUACGGAGGGUGCAAGCGUUAAUCGGAAUCACUGGGCGUAAAGCGCACGUAGGCUGUUAUGUAAGUCAGGGGUGAAAUCCCACGGCUCAACCGUGGAACUGCCCUUGAUACUGCACGACUUGAAUCCGGGAGAGGGUGGCGGAAUUCCAGGUGUAGGAGUGAAAUCCGUAGAUAUCUGGAGGAACAUCAGUGGCGAAGGCGGCCACCUGGACCGGUAUUGACGCUGAGGUGCGAAAGCGUGGGGAGCCAACAGGAUUAGAUACCCUGGUAGUCCACGCCGAACACCAUGGAUG